rnacentral:lncRNA from 1 species
AAAAUAAUACUAGGUGUCGAGAUGAAACCUCUGUAGUUCUUACAACAUCAACUGGCAAAUCAAGAUGAAUGUCCGAAAUAAUAGAAGAGAGCUUUCCUUUGAGAAUCGAAUGCAGUUACUAGGGGAGCGCUAAUAAAUCUACUAAUGAAGCACUAAGACAACUGUGUAUCCAUAAAUUAAUAUGUUCCCCAUUCCAAUAAUCCAAACUGAAUUAUAUAUGAC